UACGGAGGGGGCUAGCGUUGUUCGGAAUUACUGGGCGUAAAGCGCACGUAGGCGGCUUUGUAAGUUAGAGGUGAAAGCCCGGGGCUCAACUCCGGAAUUGCCUUUAAAACUGCAUCGCUAGAAUUGUGGAGAGGUGAGUGGAAUUCCGAGUGUAGAGGUGAAAUUCGUAGAUAUCGUAAGGAAGACCAGUGGCGAAGGCGGGUCUCUGGACAGUUCCUGACGCUGAGGCACGAAGGCCAGGGGAGCAAACGGG
rnacentral:rRNA from 1 species